GACGAACGCUGGCGGCGUGCUUAACACAUGCAAGUCGAACGGAAAGGCCCUGCUUAUGUGGGGUGCUCGAGUGGCGAACGGGUGGGUAACACGUGAGUAACCAGCCCGUGACUUUGGGAUAACUUCAGGAAACUGGGGCUAAUACCGGACAGGAGAUCCUGUUGAAUGGUGGGGGUUGGAAAGUUUCGGCGGUUGGGGAUGGACUCGCGGCUUAUCCGCUGGUUGGUGGGGUAGUGGCUUACCAAGGCUUUGACGGGGAGCCGGCCUGAGAGGGUGACCGGCCACAUUGGGACUGAGAUACGGCCCAGACUGCUACGGGAGGCAGCAGUGGGGAAUAUUGCACAAUGGGCGGAAGCCUGAUGCAGCAACGCCGCGUGCGGGAUGACGGCCUUCGGGUUGUAAACCGCUUUCGCCUGUGACGAAGCGUGAGUGACGGUAAUGGGUAAAGAAGCACCGGCUAACUACGUG
rnacentral:rRNA from 1 species